GAUGAACGCUGGCGGCGUGCCUAAUACAUGCAAGUCGAGCGAACGGACGAGAAGCUUGCUUCUCUGAUGUUAGCGGCGGACGGGUGAGUAACACGUGGAUAACCUACCUAUAAGACUGGGAUAACUUCGGGAAACCGGAGCUAAUACCGGAUAAUAUUUUGAACCGCAUGGUUCAAAAGUGAAAGACGGUCUUGCUGUCACUUAUAGAUGGAUCCGCGCUGCAUUAGCUAGUUGGUAAGGUAACGGCUUACCAAGGCAACGAUGCAUAGCCGACCUGAGAGGGUGAUCGGCCCAACUGGAACUGAGACACGGUCCAGACUCCUACGGGAGGCAGUAGUAGGGAAUCUUCCGCAAUGGGCGAAAGCCUGACGGAGCAACGCCGCGUGAGUGAUGAAGGUCUUCGGAUCGUAAAACUCUGUUAUUAGGGAAGAACAUAUGUGUAAGUAACUGUGCACAUCUUGACGGUACCUAAUCAGAAAGCCACGGCUAACUACGUG
rnacentral:rRNA from 1 species